rnacentral:rRNA from 1 species
AGAGUUUGAUCAUGGCUCAGGAUGAACGCUAGCUACAGGCUUAACACAUGCAAGUCGAGGGGCAGCAUAACGAAAGCUUGCUUUGUGAUGGCGACCGGCGCACGGGUGAGUAACGCGUAUCCAACCUUCCCCAUAGUAGAGAAUAGCCCGGCGAAAGUCGGAUUAAUGCUCUAUGUUGUAUCAUGAGGACAUCUGAAUAAUACCAAAGGUUUACCGCUAUGGGGAUGGGGAUGCGUCUGAUUAGGUUGUUGGCGGGGUAACGGCCACCAAGCCCACGAUCAGUAGGGGUUCUGAGAGGAAGGUCCCCCACAUUGGAACUGAGACACGGUCCAAACUCCUACGGGAGGCAGCAGUGAGGAAUAUUGGUCAAUGGACGGAAGUCUGAACCAGCCAAGUAGCGUGCAGGAUGACGGCCCUAUGGGUUGUAAACUGCUUUUAUACAGGGAUAAAGUGAGGGACGUGUCCCUUUUUGUAGGUACUGUAUGAAUAAGGACCGGCUAAUUCCGUGCCAGCCGCGGC